rnacentral:rRNA from 1 species
CCGCCACGGGGGCAGCAGUGGGGAAUAUUGGGCAAUGGGCGAAAGCCUGACCCAGCAAUGCCGCGUGAAUGAAGAAGGUCUUACGAUUGUAAAAUCCUGUCCUAUGGGAAGAAACAAAUGACGGUGCCAUAGGAGGAAGCCCCGGCUAACUACGUGCCCGAAGCCGCGGUAAUACGUAGGGGGCGCGCGUUGUCCGGAAUUACUGGGCGUAAAGAGAGCGUAGGCGGCACUACAAGUCUCAUGUGAAAUACCCGGGCUUACCUUGGGGGUUGCAU